AUACUCACUUCAGCAGCAUAAAUACUAAAAUUGGAAUCAUACAGUAAAGAUCAACAUGGCCCCUGCACAAAGAUGACACACAAAUUUGUGAAAAAUUCAAUUUUUUU
ensembl:snRNA U6 U6 spliceosomal RNA